UGAUCCGGUCGCGUCUCUGGUUGGUGGGCCUAAUGGGCCGUCAAACCGACUCCUAGGCCCAUGCUCACAUAGGAUGAGAUGACGGGUCGGCAGCUCUGUUCUGAACUUCUCAUCGGUUUUCCAGAGGAGUUCGCUGGGCGAGAUGACCUGCGGCGGCCUCCCCGGCUCGCCGGCGCCGGCGCCGAUGCCGGCGGUGGCGGCCCCGCUGGAGGACGAGAACCUCCUCCCGGAGAUCCUCGUCCGCCUAGCCCCACUCCCAUCCGCCCUCCCGCGCGCCUCCCUCGUCUGCAAGCGCUGGCGCCGCCUCGUCACCGACCGCCGCUUCGUGCGCCGCUUCCGCGCGCACCACCUCGGCGGCCCGCCUCCGCUGAUCGGCUUCUUCGAGGAGGUCACCCGCAAGCCCGACCCCCACAACCCCGCCCCGGGCGACCCCAACGUCCUCUCCUUCACCCCUAUCCUGGAUCACCCCGACCGCGUCCCGGUCGGGCGCUUCUCCCUGCACCUACACGACGGCCACGGCCGCUCGAACAUCGGCUGCCGCGACGGCCUCGUGCUCCUCAUCUACCCGGCGGGCUUCGACAUCGAGGUCCUCGUGUGGGACCCCGUCACCGGCGACCAGCACCGCUUCCUCAUCCCCUGGGUGAUCGACGACGGCCAGGGCACCGAGAUCUUAAACGGGGCGGUCCUUCGCACCGCCGGAAUCCUCGACGAUCGCCCCUUCCGGUUCCAGGCGGUCUUGACCGGCGUCGACGGGCAGAACAAGCGGCUGUUCGCCUGCGUUUACUCGUCCGAGACCGGCAAAUGGGGCGAUCCAAUCUGGGUAUCCGCGGAUUUUACGAGCGGCGUAACCACCAUGAUUGAGAUGCGUGUUUCCAGUACCAUGGUUGGGAAUUCCCUCUACUGGUCCCUUUGCUCAAUUGGUUGGGAGGUAGCUGCCAUCCUUCAGUUUGAUUUGGAUACACAACACCUGGCUGUCAUACACUUACCCUGCUUGGGUAAGUGUAGUAGGAAUGGCAGCCGGACCUUCCGGGCUGUGCCCGUGGACGGCGGUGAGCUUGGCGUCCUUGAGCUGUUUGACGCCAACCUCCAGUUGUGGAAAAGGAAGAUCGACCGUGACGGUGUUGUUUCAUGGGUGCUGGAGAAGACUAUUGGAUUGGAGGAACUUCUUUAUAUAGAUAAAAGGAAAAUGGGCCCAAUGAUGCUCGGGUAUUGCGAGGACAAUAAUGUGGUGUUUAUAUGGACAUAUCACGGUAUUUUCAUGGUCCAGCUUGAGUCACUGGAAGUGUACAAGCCUCCCAUACAGACAUUUUACUGUUUGGUUCAUCCAUUCACAAGUGUCUACACUGCAGACAUGGGCAUUGGUGGUGAGCCUGAUGAAGACAAACUUCUGUGCAAUGCAAUGCAUAAGGUGACUUUAUAACAUUGGUUUACAGGUUUGAUAUAAGCUCCGCAAGCAAUACAAACUUUGACUUUUAAUGGCUUUUGCAUCAUCAACCAGUGGUACAAAAUUCGCUUGACAAGUGACUGUUCCGCAGGUAUCUAGAGUUCCUAUUCGGGUUGCUGGGCAGCGGAAUGGCUUACCGGUGCGGUGCAGGCUCCGUCCGUCUUCUAGUAGGCAGCAAGCAUGUUCUGGUUAACUGCGAAGUAGACUUGUAGGAUUGGUUGAUUUAUUUGUCCAGUUUGGUAACUUCCUUGCAUACCUGAAUAAUUGUAGGACAAGCAGCAACUUGCUUGGACUCAUGAAUAAGGCAGUGGCAUAGACUGUCAGCUCAUGAUCAUGCAUUCAACUGAUUGGUCUCUUGGGUAACAUUUGUGCUUA